rnacentral:misc_RNA from 1 species
UUAACUAUUAUAUAGUACUCAGACAUCACUAAAAACAAGAGUUGUGGUCCUCUGGCGGGCACUCAACAGCCGAAGCCGCUGGCACAAGGCGGCCCGCCAAAGCAACAAAGGUAGUUUAUUCAAGGGUGGAGAUCAGGACCGCACUUCUGCGAGAGGUGCGACGACUCUAAACCCUACCGAAGUAGGGUAGCCCACCACGAAGCAAGCUUCUGUGGGGCGCUGUCUAUCCUUUACUCUAGUAAUGAUCCUUCCGCAGGUUCACCUACGGAAA